rnacentral:lncRNA from 1 species
UGCUUGCUUCAUUCCACGCAAGGGAACUCCUACAUGGACACUUGGUGACCGGGUAUGAAGCCAGCCACUCCAGCCCAAAGGCCAUUAGGACAUAUGGAAGGACCCAACACCACCUUUUCGCCACACUUCUAUUCCUCCAUUAGAAACAGCAGGAAGGAAUCUGGGACUCAUGCCCACUGGAUUCUUACCACCUCGUAUGAUUCCGUUGCUUUAAAUACCAUCCCGGCUUCCCAGCUUCAGUCACAUAAUCGGCAUUAGGGGAGGGCAGUCUAAGUAAUAAAAUCAGCGAUGGACGUUUACAUUUCAGAAGAAUACGUGAUCAAACGGCGGAGAGAGAAGCAGAUGCAGGCUGCAGCUGAUGAACGGAAACGGCGGGAGGUGGUAUCCAAAUUGGCCGGCGAGGAGAAGGCGCCGACGAAAUGGACGACUUUGAUGCCCGGAUUAGGGAGGGAGAAGAGUGGGACAAAGGAGGAGGAUACCGUCUUCAGUUGCUUCUCGGCUUAAUUAGAACAGAGAUUCUUUGGAAAAGCCACGGUUCAGGCUAUUCCGGUUUUGUUUAGGAUGUUCUCUCCCUCUCAUGGCAGUUUAGGAUGUGUUAUCUGGGAUAGCGUAGCAUGGCCAAUUUAUAAUUGUUGGUACUUUUACAAUAAGAAUCAGAGUAGAUUAAUCAUUAUUGUGAGAUUUUAUUUUAUGGAUCCUUACAGUUUUGGUCUACUUGUGACUAGUUUAUAAGUUUAUCAAUUUGUGGAGUAUUUAGGUGAAUGGAUCAUUGAUAACAAAAUUAAAUAUAUCCUCUGGCUUUGAUGCUUAGCGUCUUAAUAUACUAGUGAAUUAGAUGAUAGGUAAAAAAAACACUUUUUAAGUAUAUUGAAAUAAGGAAA